rnacentral:rRNA from 1 species
AGCUCCAAGAGCGUAUAUUAAAGUUGUUGCAGUUAAAAAGCUCGUAGUUGAACCUUGGGGGCACUGCGCCGGUCCGCCGCAAGGCGAGCACUGGAGGCGGCGCCCCUUUCCUCUGUCGUCUCCCCUUGUGGGGGGUGACAGAAUAUUACUUUGAGUAAAUGAGAGUGUUCAAAGCAGGCGCACGCUUGAAUCUGUUAGCAUGGAAUAAUAGAAUAGGACGCAUGGUUCUAUUUUGUUGGUUUCUAGGACCAUCGUAAUGAUUAAUAGGGACGGUCGGGGGCAUCAGUAUUCAGUUGUCAGAGGUGAAAUUCUUGGAUUUACUGAAGACUAACUACUGCGAAAGCAUUUGCCAAGGACGUUUUCA